UUACACCCUCCUCGACAGGAAACAGAGACCAGACAGGAAGCUGGGCCUGGCUACAAAACCCGAAGGUCCCCGCCUCUAGCCAUCCACUCCGUCGUGAGGCACCCGCCUCCUAAAGGUUCCCUAGCCUUCCAUUUGUCACCAUCUGCUGGGGACCGAACAUUCAAACAUAUGAAAACGAAGGGAACAUGUCACAUCUGGACCCAUGAAAGAGCUGAUGGGACUCUACAGUGACGGGCAGAGAAGGGACGGGUUGGCUGGGUUCCUGUGGACUCUAGCUCAGAUCUGGAGCUUUCCUGAGACCACAUCUCCUCCCUCAUCCACAGACUGAUAAGUGUUUGAACUCAGGGCUUUAUACAGACCAGAGAAGCCCUCUACCGCCGAGCCACACCCCAGCUUCCAGUUUGGAAAAAGGAACUGAGUCACUCACCGCUUGUCAUUGUGAUGUCCCCGGCUUGGCUGCUUCUGAUGAUAGGGCCUCCGUCUACUCAGUAGAGAGAGGGGAGGGAGGUAAGGUGUUGAGAAGCCUCUAGAACUGCUGGGGGAUGGGGUGUCUUUGCUCACUGAGGAAAGACUCAAGUUUUAACUCAAAUUUCUCAGCCAGGGUAGGUGAACCUAGCUAACAGUUAGACUUUCUGUGGUAGCUAAACAGAUCAGCAUCUUCUGGCUAAUGUGCGCUAUCUCCAAGGGGAGACCAAGCAGGGACCCCAAGGGAUCUCUAAGUAAGAGCCAGCUCUUACUUGGCUCUGAACUGUUACAUGCUGAACUGAAUUCCCAGAAUUCCCAGGCAUUUCCAGAAUCAACCUCCUGUUCCCUGAAUCUGGCUUUCCCAAUCAGAAGAGGUUUGUAGAAAGGCUUUGGUGUGAGGAUCUGAUUGAAGGGAACUAUAAAGCACAAGCCAAGGCCAGAGGGGGCAAACACAGGAAAAACUCAUUCAAAGGCACAGUGUGAAGAGAGCUGCUUUCUGCUACCUGGUUGUGUAUGAUGUGAGAAGCAGUUGGAAUCUGGAACCAUGUCCAGAAGAAACAGAAAAAGGUGUUGUUAAUCUCCACCUUUCCUCAGGCAGAGGUUUGUUCCUCCAUAGUUAACUUUCCUGUGUUUCCAGGUUUCCCCUGGUAAGAGCGGGAAGCCUUGCAUGCAAAACAUGCUGAGGUAAUGGUGAUCAGGUGUGUGUGUGUAUGAGAGAGAGAGAGAGAGAGAGAGAGAGAGAGAGAGAGAGAGAGAGAGAGAAGAUGGUCUCAACCAAGAAAGGAGUGUCCUGCUGAGGGCAGGGUAAGGCCAAGAGGGUCUGAAGAUGCAGAGGAAGCGAGUGUAAGUACGGCUAGUUUUAUGUCAACUUGAUACAAACUACAGUCAUCAGAGGAGGGAGACCCAAUUGAAAAAAAAAAAAGUGUCCACAAUACCUGACUGUUAGUCAUUUUCUCAGUUAGUAAUCAGUGUGGGAGGGCCCAGUUCAUGGAGGGUGAUGCCACCCUGGGCUGCUGGUCCUGACUUUGAUAAGAAAGCAGGCUGAGCAAGUCAUGGGGUACAAGCCAGUAAGCAGCACCCCUCCAUGGCCUCUGCAUCAGCUCCUGCCUGCAAGUCCCAGCCCUGUUUGAGCUCCUGUCCUGACUUCCUUUGAUAGUGAACAGUGCUAUGAAAGUGUAAGCUGACUAAACCCUUUCCUCCCCAACUUGCUCUGACCAUGGUGUUUCAUUCAUCACAGCAAAGGCUGAGACAGUGUAUAACACCGCUUUCUUCAUAGUACAUCACAACCAGAAAGAUCAACCUGCUGCUCAUUUCGGCCAUCAAGCCUCUGGGUUCCUCUUUGAAAAUGGAGGUGUGAUCCAAAGAGGAAGAAUGAGUGAGACUGCUGGCAGGUAGGAGUUUCACGGGGAAAUUAUGCCCCAGGAGUCAAUGAAGACGGUAAGGAUGAUAUCAAAUAUGUGGGAAGCCUCUCAGGACACCAGGACAAGGAAAACUAAAUUUGAAUAGAACAGUAGGUGGCUGAGGGUUGAGUGUCAGGGUUGGUGUGAAAAUUUUGACUAUGUCUGAUGCAGAGGAGUGAGCUCUGACUCCAGCUCUGUGUGACCUUGCAAGCUGUGUGACCUUGUCAUCAGCCAUCUCUGGAAUCCAGUUCUUUAAAAAGUGAUGGAGGAACCAAGGUUCUUAGAGGCUGGGGUGUUUCCUCCCACCAGGAUGGGUAAAAGCAAAGGGUCUUAGCAGGUAGAAUCAGCGCUUGGCAGCUGGACCACCAUGCCCAGUAAAUAGAAUCUUAUUUCCUUGCAAAGCAAGCAGGGAUGUCCUUACUGAUGUAGCAGGUGGCUGUUUGGCCCUUAGUGAAAUACCAACGAUUUUAUAGUCAGUAGAACAUUUUGUGGAAACUACACUAUGUAACAGCUGGCACCAGAGAGAUGAGUCUGCCCUUAGCUGAGGUCCAAGGUCUGGGUUCAGUUCUACUUGGAGAAUUUAUUUUUAAUUUAUUUUUUAAUGUUUAUUUUAAAAUUAUGUGUAUAUGUCUGUGUCUGAGCAUGGGCUUGUGUUCAUGCAUACAGUAUCUGCAGGGGCCAGAAGAAAACAUUGGAUCACCUGGAACUGGACUGCAGGCAGUUGAGAAAAAACCUCAUGUGGGUGCUAGGAGUCCAACCCAAGUCCUCUGUAAGAGCACUUAACCUUCGAGUCACCUCUCUGGUCCUCCCAGGUGGCCGCUGGAGCAGGAUGCUAAUUGACCAUCGAGGAUACAAGCUCUGCGUCCACCAUUAGAAGUACUGUGAGAACAGCACUGUCUAGACAGACACAGAAAUACUCUAAGUUCUCUCUAGCUGGGUCCAAAAGACUAGGUCUGGCUAAGACAAUGGAAGCUGCAGAUGAAUUUCAGCUGUGCCUUUCUCGCCAAUGACCUUGGAGGCAGCAAGAUGCUGAUGACGACACUGUGGUGAGACAGGAGAACCUGGAGCCCUGAGCCACUGCUGGAGGAGAACAGCUUAGGAAUGGUGCUUUUGGAUCGUUCGUGAAUAAGACAUAAGUUUUGUGUUAACCCAGUCGACUUGUGGGGUGUUGUCAUGACAACUUACCUAAGACAACCCAUCUUAGGAACCUGCAAUGAACCUCAAAGCAGAAGCUCCUUUACUGGAGGUUCAUGACUGGGAAUCUAAUGAUGAGUCCAUUGAUCAAUCUUAUUUUUUUAAAAAGAUUUAUUUAUUAUUUAUACAACAUUCUGCCUGCACACCAGAUCUUACUAUAGAUGGUUAUGAGCCACCAUGUGGUUGCUGGCAAUUGAACUCAGGACCUUUGGAAGAGCAGUGAGUGUUCUAAACCUCUGAGCCAUCUCUCCAGCCCCCAUUAGUCAAUAUUUAUGGGAUGCUAGAUCUUCGUUUUAGUUUUGCUGAUAUAGUGUCGAGGUGACACAGUCCAGUCUUGUGAGGAUCAUUUGCCAGUAGACAGAGACAGCAAGCUGUCAGGCCAGGUACUUUCUGUGUAACAUCAAAACAGAACCUGCUUUUGGGUUCUACUGAAUCGGUUGGCUCAGGACGGCGGCCUGUCCCAGCAGGGGAAGUGUGGGCAGAUCCUGUGGUUGUCCUGCCCAUUUGCUUUAAGUUGGUGAAAGAGCCUCAGUUUAAAAACUGAAACAAGGGGCUGGAGAGAUGGCUCAGUGGUUAAGAACACUUACUGCUCUUCCAGAGGACCCGGAGCUUGGUUGGGUUUCAGUACUCUUCAGUGACUCACUACUGACUGUGACACCAGCUCCAGGGGAUCUGAUGCCCUCUUCCUGGAUUUCACGGGUACACACACACACACACACACACACACCAAGAACCAGGGAAAGAUUGGUGACGAUUUCCUUUGAGGAUUUUUAUAUGUGGUUUCCUAGCCUCGACAUUUCAGGUUUAUUUUUUCAGCAUUUAGCUAAGGAACUUCUAACGUCCCAUUAUAUCGGGAAGCAAAUACAUUAAGGAGAAUGUAAUUUCAGACAGUAAUAAACUCCAUGAAGAAAGGGAACAAAGUGAUGUGAUGGAGGGCAGCCUGGGGGAAGAAGAGCUAAUUUAUCACAACAUGUCAGGGAAGUCGUCUGUCUCCCAUCAGGCACCUGGGCAUGAAGCUGUUUCCAUCAGAUGUGAACAGAAUAAAGCAUUCUGGGCAGUUGGAGAGGGAAAUAUGGAAUCCAGGGUAAAAACAGGUUGGGGUGGACUGUGCUGAGUCAGCACAGUGAUAAGAAAGUGUUGGCCUUUGUGGCAUGGCCGGAUGGCUGCAGAUCAAGUAGGGCCAGGGUGUGAUGAGAGUCUGGGCUUUUAUUCUGUCUGCAAGGAGAGUCUGUUGCGGGGAUGAAGCCCAGACUGUCCGGAUACGAUUUGUAUUUUUUAUAUGUCAGACAAGUAAUGUCCUGAUGCUAUAACACAGUUUGAGAAAAGCCUAUCCCUCACAGUGACACGAAAACUCAAUCAUCACAUUUACGCAUCACAAAAAUGAUCUCAGUGUAUAUUUCAAAGAGAACAAUGACAUGAAAACACAGGAGGAGGGCUGUUACAGAAUAAAAGAGCCUGCGGGACAAAAGCAAACGCCAUGUCCUGUCUCAUUUACAUCCUUAUGGAAAC